rnacentral:misc_RNA from 1 species
AUACCAUCCACUAUACUCUCUUUCUCUCUCUCCCUCUCUUGGGGGGAAGGGGGGGAAGUUAGUAAAGCUGGGAGCUUGGGGGUAUUUGAACUUGGCAAUGUAUUGUCAUGUUCUCCCCUUAAAUAUAUUAGUGAGAAUGAAAUGAAAGGGAAAACAGUUGAUGUGAUAGUUAUACAAAGUCUACUCAACACUAUGUUUGUACCUUUUGGAUCUUGCUUUCUAACUUGUUGUUAAAACACAACACUUUAAAAUUAUA